rnacentral:rRNA from 1 species
ACGAACGCUGGCGGCGUGCUUCACACAUGCAAGUCGAACGAUGAAGAAAAGAAUCGAAGCUUCGGCAGAAAUUCAUUUCGGAUUAGUGGCAGACGGGUGAGUAACGCGUGAGCAACCUACCUCUUACAAAGGGAUAGCCUCGGGAAACCGGGAUUAAUACCAUAUAACAUUGCGACGAAGCAUUUCGAUGCAAUCAAAGCUACGGCGGUAAGAGAUGGGCUCGCGUCCCAUUAACCGGAUGGUGAGGUAACGGCUCACCAUAGUGACGAUGGGUAACCGGCCUGAGAGGGUGAACGGUCACACUGGAACUGAGACACGGUCCAGACUCCUACGGGAGGCAGCAGUGGGGAAUAUUGCACAAUGGAGGGAACUCUGAUGCAGCGACGCCGCGUGAGUGAUGAAGGAAUUCGUUUCGUAAAACUCUGUUCUAUGGGAAGAAAAGGACUGUACCAUAGGAGAAAGCGCCGGCUAAAUACGUG